UCAAAUUUAGCGUAAUCAGAGAAGCCAUGCAAAAUCCUAUGUGAAAUCCAUCAUUUUUAUUUCAAGAUCAAGGAUCGCUAAAAAUAUAUGGACUCGUGGACUGAAUCCACCACGCGGCAGUCACUCGGGCCUCUUAGCCUACGUACCGUAUGGGGGGGGUAUAAGCCAGGAACCAGAUUGGGUUAGACGGCGGAUCCCACCACUGAGCCUAUUGGGGCACGAGUGGAAAUACUCUGAUUUGUAAGGUAGGUCAUAGCGUCGUCUGCCAGCCUGCUAAAGAGCAUCCAAUCGUCAAUGAAUUUGGA
rnacentral:lncRNA from 1 species